rnacentral:rRNA from 1 species
GCUAGCAGCUAUAUCAUCCUGCAACUCACAACUUGCAACACACUGAAGCGAAGCAGGUGUGAGUCUGGCCAGUACCUAGAUGGGAGAUCUACUGGGAAAAACUAAGGUUGCUGCUGGAA